rnacentral:rRNA from 1 species
UCCCAGCGGUCCAAGUCGCAGCCACAUUUGUUGGGUCUAAAACAUCCGUAGCUUGCUUUACAAGUUUCUUGUGAAAUCGGGACUCUUAAGGUUCCGGCGGGCAAGAAAUACUGUUUGGCUAGAGACCGGGAGGUGCAGAGAGUACUUUGGGGGUAGCGGUAAAAUGUGUUGAUCCUCAAAGGACUAACAGUCGCGAAGGCGCUCUGCAAGAACGGAUCUGACAGUGAGGGAUGAAGGCUAGGGGC